GAGUUUGAUCAUGGCUCAGGAUGAACGCUGGCGGUAUGCUUAACACAUGCAAGUCGUACGCAAGUUUUUAACUUGAGUGGCGGACGGGUGAGUAACGCGUGAGAAUUCACCUUUAGGGAGGGGAUAACAAUUAGAAAUGAUUGCUAAUACCGUAUAUGCUUAUGUAGUGAAAGGAGUAAUCCCCCUAGAGAGAAGCUCGCGUCUGAUUAGCUAGUUGGUAAGGUAAUGGCUUACAAAGGCGACGAUCAGUAGCUGGUUUGAGAGAGCGAUCAGCCACACUGGAACUGAGACACGGUCCAGACUCCUACGGGAGGCAGCAGUGGGGAAUUUUCCGCAAUGGGCGAAAGCCUGACGGAGCAAUACCGCGUGAGGGAUGAAAGCCUAUGGGUUGUAAACCUCUUUUGUCAAGGAGGAAGUUCUGACGUUACUUGACGAAUAAGCAUCGGCUAACUCCGUGCCAGCAGCCGCGGUAAUACGGAGGAUGCAAGUGUUAUCCGGAAUCACUGGGCGUAAAGAGUCUGUAGGUGGUUUAAAAAGUCCACUAUUAAAGGUUGAAGCUUAACUUCAAAAAUGUCGUGGAAACUUUUAGACUUGAGUAUGGUAGGGGUAGAGGGAACUUCCAGUGGAGCGGUGAAAUGCGUAGAUAUUGGAAAGACCAUCAAUGGCGAAGGCACUCUACUGGGCCAUUACUGACACUGAGAGACGAAAGCUAGGGUAGCAAAUGGGAUUAGAUACCCCAGUAGUCCUAGCCGUAAACGAUGGAUACUAGAUGUUGCGUGUAUCGACCCAUGCAGUAUUGUAGCUAACGCGUUAAGUAUCCCGCCUGGGAAGUAUGCUCGCAAGA
rnacentral:rRNA from 1 species